UCCGACGUUGUGCAAGGCGCACACCUGCCAACAAUAGACCCUAUACCCCCUACUUGUGAGCAGGGAACCUGGGUUCGAUUCCCAGCGUCGGAA